rnacentral:misc_RNA from 1 species
ACCUGAAUGAUAGUACUAAUCUCACUUCUUUGAAUUCCAUAUUGUACAUGAUCUGACUCUGAUGAGAUCAAGUAUCCAUGAAGCUGUUCAAACAACAUCCAUUACCAAUAUAACAUAAAACUUCCUGGCUUAAUCCAGGGAAGAAUAGUAAAAUAUCUUGUGAAAGCACUAGCCUUUGAAAUGGUACAGGCCAACAUGUCACCAAAGUAAAGAACCAGACCCGUAGUCACCAAAAGUGCUUCCCCUAAAAAAACCCAGAACAGAAAGAAUUACAGAGAAAAGAAUUGGCAAGGCCUUAAUGAAACAGAGAAAAUCAUAAAUAAAAUUACAUCUACAAGUGCAGAAAUGAACUUUUAGAAAUUUAUUGGCACAGAAAUUAACUUCAGCUACUAAUCACUUGUGAAAUGUAUCUUGAUGGCAAUAAAGUCACUAUAAUGUAUAGCGUUCGCUAGCAAAGAGCCAAGGCCCCUAUAUUUUGUAUCAAAGAACUGAACAGUUGUCAGUAAACCAUAAAUUACAGCAUGCAGCAAUGACAUAUUUCAAUCCAUUUUAUGCAAGAGAAGGAACACAACGAGUUUUGUAAUUGUAUAAAAUUAUUUAACCCUAUAUAUAUAAUACUGUUGGAAUAAACAAUAACCACUAAAGCAAAGCAGAAUUAUUUUAGCAUAGACACACAUACCAAUGGAAGCACAUGAUGGAAAGGUAUUAAGUAGAUGCUGCACUAAUUUCACAGCUGCAAAUCCAUGAAAGAGCACCCACAGUAGUUUUAAUGUUGUUUGCAUCCCAGUACCAGACAAAAUGAACAGUGCUGCAGAUAAAACAAUGCAACUUAAACCAAACUUAGCACCCCAUGACCAAUGUGGAGGGGAGGGAGCAUUGUCCAGUGAAUGCCGCAUGACAAAGCAGAGGAAGAUAAGCACACUGAAGCAGCUAGCAUAUGUUGCCCAGUACUGGAUCGCCAGAUAAUUAAGUUCUUCAAAUUCAAUUUCAUGAAAUGAGAAGGCUCUUGACAGCUGUAUCAACUUAGAGAGCAUAACAGCAGAUAAUGUGACCGCACCAAGCAAAAUCCCCGAGGAAGCACCAGGCCUGGUUUUGAAUUGAGAAAUGGAAGAGGAGGAAAUAUCCACUCGUAUCUCGACGUAGAGAGCGAAGAUAGCGAGGAGAGAGAGAGCGACGCCGUGGAGGAGUAGAGAGAGUGGGAGAGAGAAGAGCACACAACCGAUGAAAAGUAUAACCACGGUUCUCUCGCCAUUGAGGUACGGCGAGAAGCAGACAAUCAUGGCGGCUAAAUAUCUAUCUGCUUGUGAUUUGCAGAAUGGAGGAAAAUUAUGAAGAAGAGGAUCAAAAUUGGAAGAGAAGGGAGAGAUUAUUUAAAAUGGAAAAUAGUGGAAAUUGUUUUCGCGGGAAGAAUUUUCUUACGGGGAGGCUUCUGUGAAGAACAGGGGGCGGCCUAGCGCGUGUUGGAGUGCAAGCUGGCCCUUCCCGUUUCGUAGCUAGGUCUGAU